rnacentral:rRNA from 1 species
UACGUUGGGUGCGAGCGUUGUCCGGAAUUACUGGGCGUAAAGAGCUCGUAGGCGGUUUGUCGCGUCGUCCGUGAAAACUUGGGGCUCAACCCCAAGCUUGCGGGCGAUACGGGCAGACUUGAGUACUGCAGGGGAGACUGGAAUUCCUGGUGUAGCGGUGAAAUGCGCAGAUAUCAGGAGGAACACCGGUGGCGAAGGCGGGUCUCUGGGCAGUAACUGACGCUGAGGAGCGAAAGCGUGGGUAGCAAACAGG